AGGACUCUCCCAUCCAAGGCAUGCAGACUGGGGAAUGUUUCGGUGUACAAGAGAUGAAAUAGGGAUGGAGUGCCCCCCACGUUCUUUCUGCAAGUGCCUAUUUGUGAGUGUGUGUAUCUGGGAUUUUCAGUGCUUUACCGGGGCUCUUGUGCAGAGUGCACGGUGAAGGCUGCGAGGGUCUCACUCUGUUACCCAGGCUGGAGUGGUGCAAUGGCACAAUCUCAGCUCACUGCAACCCCUGCCACUGCAACCCUUGCCUCCAGGUUCAAGUGCUUCUCUUGCCUCAGCCUUCCAAGUAGCUGGGAUUACAGGCACCUGCCACCACACCUGGCUGAUUUUUGUAUUUUUAACAGAGACGGGGUUUCACCAUGUUGGCCAAGCUGGUCUCAAACUCCUGACCUCAAGUGAUCUGCCUGCCUCAGCCUCCCAAAAUGCUGGGAUUACAGGUGUAAGCCACCAUGCCCAGCCAGGUAUGCAUUUCAUAGUGUAUGAAUCAUACCUCAAAAUUUAUAAAAAUAAAAAAGGAUUUUAAAAAAUGAACAGCCCUUUAGGUAUGGGAGGAGGCGAGGAGUAAGAAAGGUGAAUGGACUCUGCAUUACCACUUGCCGAUCGCUAGAUGUUACCAUGUUACAGUGGAAGGAAUGCAAACAAUAAUUUUUCCCAUUUUUUUUUUUGUUAUGUCCACCAUGUAACCGGACACACAGAAUUUUUUUUUUUUUUUUUUUUUUUUUUUGAGACGAAGUCUCACUCUGUCGCCCAGGCUGGAGUGCAGUGGCGCAUCUCGGCUCACUGCAAGCUCCGUCUCCCACGUUCACGCCAUUCUCCUGCCUCAGCCUCCCGAGUAGCUGGGACUACAGGCGUCUGCCACCAUGCAGCUAAUUUUUUGUAUUUUUUUUUUUAGUAGAGAUGGGGUUUCACCGUGUUAGCCAGGAUGGUCACGAUCUCCUGACCUCGUGAUCCGCCUGCCUCGGCCUCCCAAAGUGCUGGGAUUACCGGCAUGAGCCACCAUUUCCGGCAACAGGCAGACUUUUAACACAUUCCUUACCUAAACUUUUAAAAGGGACAAAAGAUAUAUGCCUUUGGUUUGGGAGAUGACGAAACAUAUGCUUUAAUGACUAUUGGGUUGGAAUCUUCUUGAGAGAGGAUCCUUCUUAGCCUAGACUAGAGUCUUCAAAAGCCCACAGUGCUUCGUAAAGUUUCAUACGUGGAAGAGAGAAGGAUGUUCCACUGGAAAAGCAGAAUUGCAGCUGAGCUGUCCUGAAAUGCCCAGCACUCUGUGGAGACGCGGAGGAGGUUUCCUGGGACAAAGUGCUGAACCAGCUACAGCCACAAGCUGUCUCCACCAUCAGAUGUGGCUUACCUGGUUCCUGAGUCAAUUCCAUCCAGAUGGUGAAGCCAAGGCCUGAAGACCUUUCCUGCAAGGUCGCAGAGGAAGAGGCAGAAGAAGGACCAGAACCCAGCUCCCCUGACUCCCUAUCCAGUGCUCUUCUCAUAGAUUACAUUGCUUCAGCAUCCACCUGGCUAUUGCUCCAUCCAGGGGUUACAGGAGUCACUGACUGUUUUGGUUGCUUCUUGGUUGGAGGAUGUUGUGCCUCACCGAUGAGAGCCGGAAGCAAAGGUACCAGUUCUUAGAGGAAGCAUAGGAAUGUGUCCCUUCCUGCUCGGGUCUCUCAACUGAACUCAACCCUUCCUUGAUUGAUUGACAAGCAUGUUAUCUCUCAUAAUCCCUGCCCGGUAAGGGCUGAUGUCCCCAUUUUACAGAUGAGGAUAUUGGAGCUCAGAGAAGUGAAAUGAUUGCUGAAGGUCACACAGCCUGGCUUCAAGCCUCUCGGGCUCCAAAAGGCAUCUUCUGUUCUCUCCGUCAGGAAGCCUCUUUUGGAUGAUUAACUGAGAUUAAAAAUGAAAAGACACAUGAAA
rnacentral:lncRNA from 1 species